rnacentral:rRNA from 1 species
AUGCAAGUCGAGCGGUAGAGAGAAGCUUGCUUCUCUUGAGAGCGGCGGACGGGUGAGUAAUACCUAGGAAUCUGCCUGAUAGUGGGGGAUAACGUUCGGAAACGGACGCUAAUACCGCAUACGUCCUACGGGAGAAAGCAGGGGACCUUCGGGCCUUGCGCUAUCAGAUGAGCCUAGGUCGGAUUAGCUAGUUGGUGAGGUAAUGGCUCACCAAGGCUACGAUCCGUAACUGGUCUGAGAGGAUGAUCAGUCACACUGGAACUGAGACACGGUCCAGACUCCUACGGGAGGCAGCAGUGGGGAAUAUUGGACAAUGGGCGAAAGCCUGAUCCAGCCAUGCCGCGUGUGUGAAGAAGGUCUUCGGAUUGUAAAGCACUUUAAGUUGGGAGGAAGGGCAUUAACCUAAU